rnacentral:snRNA from 1 species
AUCGCUUCUCAGCUUUUUGGAUAAGAUCAAGUGUAGUACCUGUUCUUAUCAGUUUAAUAUCUGAUACGUCCUCUAUCCAAGGGCAAAAAAAAUCCAAUGGAUUUUUGGAACAGGGAGCUGGAAUAGGAGCUUGCUUCGUCCACUGCACACAUCAACCUGGUACUAUAGUAUCUCCAGGAGUGGUGCACCCCUC